UCUCCCGUCAUCUAGAGGCCCAGGAUACGACACUUUCACUGUCGGUACACGAGUUCGAAUCUCGUCGGGAGAACCA
rnacentral:tRNA from 1 species